UAGGGAAUAUUGCUCAAUGGGCGAAAGCCUGAAGCAGCAACGCCGCGUGUGCGAUGAAGGUCUUCGGAUCGUAAAGCACUUUUCUGAGAGAUGAGAAAGGACAGUAUCUCAGGAAUAAGUCUCGGCUAACUACGUGCCAGCAGCCGCGGUAACACGUAGGAGGCGAGCGUUAUCCGGAUUCACUGGGCGUAAAGCGCGUGCAGGCGGUUUGGUAAGUUGGGCGUGAAAGCUCCCGGCUCAACUGGGAGAGGUCGUUCAAUACUACCAGACUUGAGAGCAGAAGAGGAAGAUGGAAUUCCCGGUGUAGUGGUGAAAUGCGUAGAUAUCGGGAGGAACACCAGUGGCGAAGGCGAUCUUCUGGUCUGUUUCUGACGCUCAGACGCGACAGCUAGGGUAGUAAACGGGAUUAGAGACCCCGGUAAUCCUAGCCGUAAACGAUGUGAACUUGGCGUUGGUGGCUUAAACACCAUCAGUGCCGAAGCAAACGCG
rnacentral:rRNA from 1 species